AGUGGUUAAAAGAUAGAAUAGUCUAGUCAAGUGCCAUGUCUCUUAUUCUUUAUCAGCUAUAGCUCUGGAGUUUUUGCAGAUUUCCAAAUAAAACUCAGAGAUUCCUUAUAUGACUCUCUCAAAUCUCUAUUUUGUGGUAUUUUUGGAUCCUUACCAAGGCAGUGAUGGUAUAUGCCUUCUCUCUCACCCUACUCUAAUAAGGCUUUAAUAUCUGGAACUCAUAGGUGGGAGAUAUACAUACUUACAAGACAUUGAUUGUAUAGUCAAACCAUGGAUCUAAAGAAACAAAUCAAUAAGCCAAAUCAAGAUGUGCAUGUGUGGCGAAUGAAUGGUGUAUGGUGAUGAUGGUGAUAACAAUGGUGAAAGUCUAAUUCUACUUUUGCUCUUUUGAGGGAAUACAUACCUUCCUUGCUUUUUGAAACUUUAUGAAGAGAAUGAGAUGAUCUUCUUUUUCUUUCCUCUCAGGUGGGUAUCUUGUACCCCUAAUUCUACUAUCGGACACUUGUCCAUUUUUACCUUUCGUCUCACUCUUUUUCUUUUCUUUUGAGGUUCCGGGCACUUGCCCCUUUUUAUUUCCUCGUAUUUUUCUCUUUUUUCUUAGAGCACUCAUCUCUUGAGAUAAUAUAGCAAGUGGUAGUAACAAGAUAACUUGAGCAUUUAUUUCACAAGGGAAAAAUAGAAAUGUUUUUGGCUAUUCUCUCCCGGAUUAGGAGUAGAAUAUUUUUAGGUGAUUCUGGAGAUGGAAAUGAGUGGAUAUAUGUGGAUGGUACUUCUGGAGUAGAAGUGGCAUAUAUGAGUGAACGUGCAAGUGAAUUCUUGAUUUAACCACAUGACAAGCUCCUAAGGGUCUACACAGCUUGACCACACUCAAUGCUCAUAAGCAGUAAAUAGUAAAUGUGUGGUGCAAAGUCUAGCAAGCAUCUAUAUAUGGCUGUGGUAGGAAUUUAAACUCUCAUCAUACAGGAACUCAUCAUGCAACAUUUUAAAGAUUUUCAAAGAUAAAAUUCUCCAGAAUUCUAGCAUCUCUAGGAACAGAUAAACAGCAGCUCAACCUUCCCAUAUCAUAUCCGUUAACAACUUAGACUUCAGAUCAAGUUUUCAUUCCACAAGUUUAGGUCUAGAGCAAGCUUGAAAUUAUAACAGUUAUAUCUAAACUUGAGAGAGAACUUAAAAUGUGCAAAUUAGGCUGAGCAACUAUUCAUCAUAUCCAUGCUAGAGUUUUAUUUAGAUACAGAUUAGCAUAGCCACUUUAUUUAUUUAUUAAACACACUAAGCAAAAGGCAAAUAUAUAAGCAAAAAAUCUUUAUUUGGUUUUUCAUAGUUAUAUUUUAUUAUAAUAUAAGUAUAAAGAUAGAUAGAUAGAAAUACUUAUCGGGAUAAAUGGGGGUGCUCUCCCCCAAGCUGAAUUUUGACGUAAUUUCCCUUGAUGUAGCUAGCAGGUGGAAGAGGUGUAUUUGAAAGUCAGCAGCAUUCUGACAGCGAUUAGAAUGUCCUCCGUCUGCUAGUCUUCUUGAUUCUUGAAUUCUGUGGAGCUCAAAUAGAUAACAAAGCUUUGUGGAACUGAUUAAGUGUUAGCAUAAAUAUCUAGCCUUUAUCAUGUUGAGACUCCUUAAUAAUUAUUGCUCCCAAUUUUUUUUAUAUUUUCAUUUUAUAAAGUAGAAAGGAAAUAUUUAUUUUAUUUUUAUGCCACCACAGUGAAUGUACUUAUGAGUUUUAUGCCACUCGUAUACUCACAUGGGCUUACUGUUUUUCAUUUUUAUUUUCUUUUUAGGAUAGUACGAACCUGAUUAACUAAGUAAACUAUUUUAAAUAAUUGAAAGGGGAAGGAUAACUACCAAGUUUACCUCUUGGCAAGGCGUUCGGUGUUUUUAAGUCCUCCGAACGGGACUCUUCUCUUCCUCAAUUGUCGUGGGAUUCGUUGGGUGGCGUAGUCGGUACUUCCGGCAGCGCCUUGUUGACGGUCCUUAAGUACCAAAUAUAAUCAUCAAAUAAAUAAAGAAAAAGAUCCAAAUGCAACCAACACCUAGACUUAGGGUUUUAUCUGACAGAAUUCCACGAGUUUUGGUGUUUGUCUAUUUCUGCAGGGGGUUAUCAGGAAAUACGAAAGAAAGGCCCACAUGUCGGGAUUACAUAGAGAUAUCAACGCACCGCGCAACUUUCUACCAUCUAGAAGACUACAGAAGCCACGGGAAGAAAGUAGAGGCCGAAAGGGGCCAGGCCCAGGGCGCCCGCCCUCUUUCCCUGGGCGCCCGCCUUGUCCUGGACUCCGUUCGGGACUCUCUUCGCACACGAUGUUCCACCGACCUAAAGGAUGAAGGAUAACGUAGUACCACAUCGCCUACCGACCCAAAAACAUAUACAGGAGGAGAACUAUAUAAGGAGACCCCCUGGCCCCUGGAGAAGACAAGAAGUUAUCAUAGAGUUGAGGGGUGCCCUCGAAGGAAAACCUCUUCUCUAAAUAAUAUUUCUUUUUAGGCUUAGCAUCCAAUGUAAAGUAGAAAUAGAUCUUCUAGUUUCUACUAGAUUGAGAGAGAGAGUGGAGGUGUAGAUCGGAGGAAGGCCGGCCUGUCGGUGUCUACUCCGAGUUGUACCUGCGGGAUCAAGUCUUCUAACCCGAGGCUUGCUCCUAAGAUUCUUCAGUAAUUCGACUUCUAAUUCUAUGUAAGUUCUUGUUUUAUUGUUCUUUGGUUUAUGAGUUUACUUUAAUCCUCUUCUGGUUGAGUAUUAGAGUAAUCAUUGCUAGCGUAAACGUGGUGUUUAGGCUAGGGUACUCAUAGAUAUCCCCUGACUAGAUGGACCGUGGUAGUAGCGAGGAACGUGACAUUUCCGAGUUACCUUUUCAUCCCAUAUCUUGUGAGAAGGAUGGGUAGGGUUUAUAGGUGCGGGUCGAACAUCCUUUGUGGUGUCUAGAUACCGUAAGCUUCCCAAUAGAAUAGUAGAUCAUCCUUACCAAGGUUAGAACGAGACUACGGUUGCAGUCUUCUCUAUACAUCACUCACUUCGAGAAACAUUCUUUGUAGCUUAAAGGGGUAGUAGCAAUAGAUUUUGUUAGUCGGAUGCACCCUUUCUCCCAGUGGUAAAAAUAUAAAUACGGUAACUCUGGAUAACCUCCCGGGUGAAAUGCUCACCGAUAUCCGUGCGCUUGCGGAUCAUUUCCUGAUUGCGUUACCAAAUAUCAACAAGCAUUUCUGGCACCGUUGCCGGGGAGAAAGACGGUUUGCUGAGAUAACUUUGAGUCUUGCUAUUAUCUUGUAUUAUACUUUUAUACUUUUAUUCUUUUAUCUGUUUAUUUUUAUCUUUAUGGAUAACUCAAAUUCCAUACCUAUUAUUAAAUUCUUUGCACCUUCGGAGACCAGCCAUAGACCAUGGGAGUCAACGCGUCCUGCCCCUAAUUAUGAUCUGUGUCCGGAGUUGAUUGCAAUAGGUCAAAACCAACCCUUUUCUAUAGCUGAGGUCCUAUCUUUUAAUCAACAAGAUAAUGAACUUUUAGCUACACCUAGGGAAUCUCUUAAUUUUUCUAUAAAUUCUGGUUUAAACCUAGCCCUACAAGACCAUGUUUUUUCUCGAUAUUUUCACAUUGGUCUUAAUCAUAUAACCUUUGGUAGAGUCUUUCUUUCUUUAUCUAUUAGUAAAGGAAGGUAUGUCUUCAAUGGUGGACAUCCUUCUUGCACUAGUCUUCAUAAAAAAUUCCUAGAGAUAGAGAAAGAAUCAUCUUCCAGACAAGGAAAGGAAGUUUCAAUAGCCGAUUUCUAAACAUUUCAAUCCCAUGAUUCGGCUAUCCAACCCAUCCUUGAGCCUAAUAAUUUCUCUUAUGCUCUUUCUCUUGAACCUCCCGAUGAUCCUAUGAAUCUCUCUAGACAUCCCAUUCAUAAGAGUCACCAAGACCACAAGGAGGAUCGAGAAGAGCAACAUCAAUGGCUAGAGGGCAUUAAAAAUCCAUGUGCCAUCACCACAUUUGAGAUCUCCAACCCUCUCUUCCUUUCUAUUUAUAAAAUCUUUAAAAGGGCGGUUGUCGAUGCAUAUGUCUAUAAUAAAUAUUGCAGAUCUCGUUGAGUUGAUUGAAGGUUUCCCAAGGACAAGCUUAGUGUCUUAAAAUAAGCACCGAUCAGAUCGUAACAUGAACUUUUAAUUAUUUGCAACAUUGCCUUGUGUAUUGAGCAUAUAAAGAUAAUUUUAAAAAUAUUCCUUCGGGUAUUCUUAUCACUAACCUUUCCAGGAUUGGAGCAAGAAGAUCGGAUGAAUGACAAGCACAAGGUAUGUCCAACCAACCAUCAUACAACAUGGAAUUAAAUUCAUCCAAACUUGAAUUUCACAAAAUUCAAGCUUGGGGGAGUACUUGACAUAAAAACAUCCUUUGCCAUGUUUCUAUGUUGGUUGUCCCUACCUUUGAGAGAUGCUCAAUUUGUUAAGUACUAAUCACACUACUUCAUCUCCACUUGAGUAGAUCUCUAUAAGUGUUGUCAUGCUACCUUUAUCUAUUUACUAGCAAGUGUUGGUUUAGAAGUACUCGACAUACUUCCAUUGGCAUUUACAUUAAGCAUGGUGCUUAGGUUCAAUAGCCUUCCUUAAUCUGAUUAGACAUGGAGUCUAGUUUGGUUACUGAACUAAAAACUGCUUGAGUAGAUAUUGGUAUAUUUUGUGGGACUAACCCCUGCAGAAAAACUUUCAAUAUCAACCUGGGAAGUCCUGAGAUAAACUCACAUUGGAGAUGAAGAAAGUGAAACAUGAAGUUUAACAAUUUGCACAAGAAAGACGUAGCUCAUAAGAGAUGAUCCAUGAAGAGUGCCACAAACACGAUGCACAACCGCUAAGAAAGAAAAGCUUCCACUCUUCAAGUAAGGUAACAUCUUAAGGUACUUGACUAUUGCUUUUAUAAGCUUCUCCUUGGUUCUGGCAUUCACAUAAAUAAAGAGACAAACAUGUAUGAUUUAUAACUCUAAAUUAACCAACCUAACGGAUUCAGCAUGUUUAGUCCUUUAAUCUUUGUUCUUAGUACUACCUUCGUGAUCCCACACUCCUAAUCAUAUAAGCUAAUAUGUUGCACAUUCAAUAUUUGGAAGAUAUAAACAAAACAUAAAUAUAGAUAGAUUAUCUUUCCAUUAGGUUGAGCCAUCUGAUCUGACAAAUGCUACACUCAUGAACUUAUCACCCAUCAACUUUGUCUUGCUCACUAUGCUUAAGGUUAGAGAAGAACAAAUACACUUUUGGUUCUGUUGGUGUUUUUCACCAACAGGGCCCAUGCACUUGAUCUCUGUCUUGUCUCUAUGAGCAGGUACACUUCAAGCAAAAUAUGAAGGAGUUUUACAACUCCCAGACUCCACCAAGUGAAGAACCAGGAUCUACGAGCACAAACACACUGGAGAUACUGGACGCUCAGGCAAUCACUGCCCUGAGAUGCUUGAGGACGUGAACUACAUCAACAACAAUAACAACUAUUACUACAACCGUCCUCAACAACAUCAAGGUUGGAAUCAACAGAGGCCUAAUUACUCAAAUAGGUGAUCCAGGACGCCCCGUCAUCCCGAUCUCCAUCGGCAUGGUGGACUUCCCAGAAGCACUCUGUGACUUUGGCUCCAGCGUCAACAUUAUGCCCAGGGUUGCAGAUCGGACACUCAGUUUCCCAAAGGAAAUAUUGAAGAACCUCUGCGUCCGAGUUGGUACCUUGUACACUCUAGCAGACUUCGUGGUGAUAGAGACUGGUACUGAGGAGAGGGCACCCAUCAUCUUAGGGAGGCCAUUCCUAAACACCAGAGCUGUCAUCUACGUUAAUGCUGCCAAGAUCAGUUUCUACAUCAAGGGGAAGAAGGAGACUUUCCUUCAAGAACAAGACUACACAAAUUUCAGAGCAAUCCCGACACGAACCAAGGAAGAGGACCAACAGGAGGAACAGGAACAAGCAAAUGUGGACCGAGUCAGCUAAGAUGAUCACUGCAGUUCAAAGAUGUCAAAAUCGUCGACUCAAGUCGCCUUUCCUGAUCAAGAAGGACGACCCUGGUGUUCCAAGCAUCGAGUGCACAAUCAAUGGAUACUCUUUUCAGAAGACACUCUACGACACCGGAUCUGACGUCAACAUAAUGGCCGCAGUCACUUAUCAGCUCCUGCAUGAAACCAUGCCCCUACAACCAAUAUAUAUUCAGCUCCAGAUGAUUUUCAGAUCAUUGACAUGGGAGAAGACGAGUACGAUCCACCCAUCAUCCUUGGAAGACCUUUCCUCAACACUAUCAAAAUUAUCAUCUACAUUGGAAUUAGAGAAGUCCACGUGUACUUCCUGAGAAGGUACACCGCUAUUUUACUGACUCUAACUAUAUAGUUGAAGACUCUAAGCAGGUCAGGACAAGAAGAAGACAACGCAACCGCAACCAGAGGAGGCAAAUCAUCAAGGACGGAUGGGUAGACUACGAAGGAGAAGUGAUAAGGUUUGAAGACAUAUAGUUUGAACAGAACUGUCCUGAGGAGACCGUAGCACCGAGUCAGGUGUGGAGAGAGAAGAUAGUUACACACGAAGAGGAGGCGCCGCCGGAACCACCGACUACGCCACCCAGCGAAUCCCAGGACGACUAAGAAAACGGAGAGUCCCGUUCGGAGGACUUAAAAAUACCGAACACCUUGCCAAGAGGUAAACUUGGUAGUUAUCCUUUUCCAUUCAAUAGUUUGCUUAGAUAAUCAGGUUCAUGCUAUCUUGAAAAGAAAACAAAAAUGUUAAAAAAAUAGUAAGCCCCAUGUGAGUAUGCUCAUGGAAUAAAACCCAUAAGUACAUUCACUGUGGUGGCAUAAAAAUAAAAUAAAUAAGUUUUCAUCUUACAAUAAAAAUAUAAAAAUAAUAAGUGCAUGAUCCUGCUAAAUAAGUAAUAUUUGUUGAUGAGGCUCAACAUGAUAAAGGCUAGAUAUUUAUGCUAACACUUAACCAGUUCCACAAAGCUUUGUUGUCUAUUUGAGCUCCACAGGAUUCAAGGAUCAAAAAAGACUAGUAGACGGAGGACGUCCUAAUCGCUGUCAGGGUGCUGCCGACUUUCAAAUACACCUCCACCCUGCUAGCUACAUCAGAAGAAAUUACGUCAAAAUCCAGCUUGGGGGAGAGCACCCCCAUUUAUCCAGCUAAGUGUUUCUACUCGCAUUUAUACUCAAAUAAUAAAAGAUGUAUAAUCAUGAAAACCCAAAUAAAGAUUUUGUGCUUUUAUAUAUCUUUGCUUAGUUUGCUAAAUAAAUAAAUAAAUAAAGUUUACUAUGAACCCUCAUGAUAAGCUCUCACAUGGAAAUGAUGAAUAGUUGCUCUGCCAUGACUAGUUCUUAAAAUUGAAAUCUCUCUCAAGUUUAGGCAUAACUGUUAUGAAUUAAGAUUUGCUCUAAACCUGAACUUGUGGGAAGAGUACUUGAUCUAAAGUCUAAGUCGUUAACGGAUAUGAUAUGGGAAGGUUGAGCUGCUGUUUAUCUGUUUCUAGAGAUGCUAGAAUUCUGGAGAAUUUUAUCUUUGAAAAUCUUUAAAAUAACACAUGAUGAGUUCCUGUAUGAUGAGAGUUUAAAAUGCUACCACAGCCACAUAUACAUGCUUAUUAGACUAUGAACCAUAUAUUUACUUUUUACUGCUUAUGAGCAUUGAGUGUGGUCAAGCUGUGUAGACCCUUAGGAGCUUGUCAUGUGGUUAAAAUCAAGAUUCACUUGCAUGUUCACUCGUAUAUGCUGCUUCUAUUCCGGAAGUACGCAUCCACAUACAUCCACUCAUUUCCAUCUCCAGAGUCACCCAAAAUUAUUCUACUCCUAAUCCGGGAGAGAAUAGCCAAAAAACAUUUUCCUAUCCCUGUUAUUCCCUGUGAAAUAAAUGCUCCAGUUAUUUUGGUUACUACCACUUGCUACAUUAUUUCAAGAGAUGAGUGCUCUAAAAAAAGAAGAAAAAAAAUAAUAAUAUACGAGGAAAUAAAAAGGGGCAAGUGCCCGGAACCUCGAAGAAAAGAAAAAGUGAGACGAGAGGUAAAAAUGGACAAGUGUCCGACAGUAGAAUUAGGGGUACAAGAUACCCACCUAAGAGGAAAGAAAAAGAAAAUAUAGAGCAUCUCAUUCUCCUCAAAAAGCUUCAAAGUGCAAGAAAGGUAUGUAUCCCCUUAAAAGAGCAAAAGUAGAAUUAGACUUUCACCAUUGUUAUCACCAUCAUCACCAUACACCAUUCAUUCGCCACACAUGCACAUCUUGAUUUGACUUAUUGACUUGUUUCUCUGGAUCCAUGGUUUGACUAUGCAAUAAAUGUCUUGUAAGUAUGUAUUAGCUGUCUCCCACCUAUGAGCUCCAGAUAUCAAAACUUUAUUAGAGUAGGGUGAGAGAGAAGGCAAUGUCACUAUGUCUCAUACCAGAAAUACCACAUACUUUGAGAGAAGGCAUAUACCAUUACUGCCUUGGUAAGGAUCCAUAAAUACCACAAAAGAGAGAUAUAAGAGAGUCAUACAAGGAAUCUCUGAGUUUUAUUUGAAAAUCUGCAAAAACUCCAAAGCUAUAGCUGAUCAAGAAUAAGAGACAUGGCACUUGACUAGACUGUUCUAUCUUUUAACUGCUCAAGACACAAGUGACGGUUACAAGCCCCAUGGUGAAAGGUAAAAUGAGUAAGUUUUAAGUCUUAACAGUUUAUUCUAACUCAGAGAUGAGAUCUUGCUUGAAUGGGUGUGUAUUUUUAAGGCAUGAAACCACUGCAGAAACUCUUGAGUUCAUCCUUGCUCGGGGACGAGCAAGAGGUAAGCUUGGGGGAGUUGUUGACGGUCCUUAAGUACCAAAUAUAAUCAUCAAAUAAAUAAAGAAAAGGAUCCAAAUACAACCAACACCUAGACUUAGGGUUUUAUCUGACAGAAUUCCACGAGUUUUGGUGUUUGUCUAUUUCUGCAGGGGGUUAUCAGGAAAUACGAAAGAAAGGCCCACAUGUCGGGAUUACAUAGAGAUAUCAAUGCACCGCACAAUUUUCUACCAUCUAGAAGACUCCAGAAGCCACGAGAAGAAAGCAGAGGCCGAAAGGGGCCAGGCCCAGGGCGCCCGCCCUCUUUCCCCAGGCGCCCGCCCUGUCCUGGACUCUGUUCGGGACUCUCUUCGCACACGAUGUUCCACCGACCUAAAGGAUCAAGGAUAACGUAGUACCAAAUCGCCUACCGACCCAAAAACGCAUAGAGGAGGAGGACUAUAUAAGGAGACCCCCCUGGCCCCUGGAGAAGACAAGAAGUUAUCAUAGAGUUGAGGGGUUCCCUCGAAGGAAAACCUCUUCUCUAAAUAAUAUUUCUUUUUAGGCUUAGCAUCCAAUGUAAAGUAGAAAUAGAUCCUCUAGUUUCUACUAGAUUGAGAGAGAUAGAGUGGAGGUGUAGAUCGGAGGAAGGCCGGCCUUUCGGUGUCUACUCCGAGUUGUACCUGCG
rnacentral:lncRNA from 1 species